rfam:Tupaia chinensis contig196004, whole genome shotgun sequence.
GAAUGUGAGGGUGAUCUGGCUGUGCCAUCCGUCCGUCACCCCAUUGAUUGCCAGGGUUGACUUGGCGGGUCUGCCAGGCUAGGCAGGUGUCCCUUUCUGUCUUACCGCUCCCUCCGCGUCCCUCCGGAAGCUGCGUGCUCUGUUGAAGAUGAUCUUUCCGGAUAGAGGGAGACCAUUCUUCAGUCAAGGGUUUGAGAGUCAUCGUGCUUCCCUGCUGCAACCUCCAGAUGAGCUCGCAAGAAGGCCGUGGGGCAGGUGGAGCAGUGGUAGCUGCUGCCCCGCGAGGCUGGAACCACGUGGAGAAUUGCAGCGUGGU